rnacentral:tRNA from 1 species
UGGAAUGUAGCCCCUUGGUAGGGCAUAUGCCCUGCAUGUGCAAGGCCCUGGGUUCAAUUCCUAGCAUGCUAC